rnacentral:rRNA from 1 species
AACGAACGCUGGCGGCGUGCUUAACACAUGCAAGUCGAACGUGAUUGGAAGCUUGCUUCCAUGAAAGUGGCGCACGGGUGAGUAACGCGUGGAUAACCUGCCCUGGUAUCUGGGAUAACAUUUCGAAAGGGGUGCUAAUACCGGAUAAGCCCACGGGAUCCUCGGAUUCUGCGGGAAAGGAGGCCUCUAUUUAUAAGCUUCCGUACCAUGAUGGGUCCGCGUACCAUUAGCUAGUUGGUGGGGUAAUGGCCUACCAAGGCGACGAUGGUUAGCUGGUCUGAGAGGAUGAUCAGCCACACUGGAACUGAGACACGGUCCAGACUCCUACGGGAGGCAGCAGUGGGGAAUUUUGCGCAAUGGGGGAAACCCUGACGCAGCAACGCCG